AUUGAACGCUGGCGGCAGGCCUAAUACAUGCAAGUCGAGCGGAGCGGCGGACGGGCGAGUAAUGCCUAGGAAGCUGCCUGGUCGUGGGGGAUAACGUCCGGAAACGGGCGCUAAUAUCGCAUAAUAUUAGAUGUGCCUAGGUCGGAUUAGCUAGUUGGUGUGGUAAAGGACUACCAGGGCGACGAUCCGUAACUGGUCUGAGAGGAUGAGCAGUCAGACUGGAACUGAGACACGGUCCAGACUCCUACGGGAGGCAGCAGUAGGGAAUAUUGGACAAUGGGCGAAAGCCUGAUCCAGCCAUGCCGCGUGUGUGAAGAAGGUCUUCGGAUUGUAAAGCACUUUAAGUUGGGAAGCGUUACCAACACAGUAAGCACCGGCUAACUUCGUGCCAGCAGCCGCGGUAAUAC
rnacentral:rRNA from 1 species